CCUACGGGAGGCAGCAGUGGGGAAUAUUGGACAAUGGGCGAAAGCCUGAUCCAGCAAUGCCGCGUGAGUGAUGAAGGCCUUCGGGUCGUAAAGCUCUUUUACCAGGGAUGAUAAUGACAGUACCUGGAGAAUAAGCUCCGGCUAACUCCGUGCCAGCAGCCGCGGUAAUACGGAGGGAGCUAGCGUUGUUCGGAAUUACUGGGCGUAAAGAGUACGUAGGCGGUUAUUCAAGUCAGAGGUGAAAGCCCGGGGCUCAACCCCGGAACUGCCUUUGAAACUAGAUAACUAGAGUCUUGGAGAGGUUAGUGGAAUUCCGAGUGUAGAGGUGAAAUUCGUAGAUAUUCGGAAGAACACCAGUGGCGAAGGCGACUAACUGGACAAGUACUGACGCUGAGGUACGAAAGCGUGGGGAGCAAACAGGAUUAGAUACCCUGGUAGUCCACGCCGUAAACGAUGAUAACUAGUUGUUCGGUCACUUGGUGACUGAGUGACGCAGCUAACGCAUUAAGUUAUCCGCCUGGGGAGUACGGUGCAAGNUUAAAACUCAAAGGAAUUGACGG
rnacentral:rRNA from 1 species